rnacentral:rRNA from 1 species
UACGUAGGGCGCAAGCGUUGUCCGGAAUUAUUGGGCGUAAAGAGCUCGUAGGCGGCCAGUUGCGUCUGCUGUGAAAUCCCGGGGCUCAACCCCGGGCGUGCAGUGGAUACGGGCUGGCUAGAGGCAGGCAGGGGAGAACGGAAUUCCCGGUGUAGCGGUGAAAUGCGCAGAUAUCGGGAGGAACACCGGUGGCGAAGGCGGCGACCUGGUCCGACACUGACGCUGAGGCGCGAAAGCGUGGGGAGCAAACAGG